CGUAGGGUGCGAGCGUUAAUCGGAAUUACUGGGCGUAAAGUGUGCGCAGGUGGCCGCGCAAGUCGAGUGUGAAAUCCCCGAGCUUAACUUGGGAAUUGCGCUCGAAACUACGUGGCUCGAGUGUGGCAGAGGAAGGUGGAAUUCCACGUGUAGCGGUGAAAUGCGUAGAGAUGUGGAGGAACACCGAUGGCGAAGGCAGCCUUCUGGGCCAACACUGACGCUCAUGCACGAAAGCGUGGGGAGCAAACAGGAUUAGAUACCCUGGUAGUCCACGCCCUAAACGAUGAAGACUAGUUGUUGGGGGAGUUAAAUCCCUUAGUAACGCAGCUAACGCGUGAAGUCAUCCGCCUGGGGAGUACGGUCGCAAGAUUA
rnacentral:rRNA from 1 species